rnacentral:rRNA from 1 species
UACGGAGGGUGCAAGCGUUAUCCGGAUUUACUGGGUUUAAAGGGUGCGUAGGCGGGCAGGUAAGUCAGAGGUGAAAUCUCCGAGCUUAACUCGGAAACUGCCUUUGAUACUAUCUGUCUUGAAUAUUGUGAAGGUAAGCGGAAUAUGUCAUGUAGCGGUGAAAUGCUUAGAUAUGACAUAGAACACCUAUUGCGAAGGCAGCUUACUACGCAUAUAUUGACGCUGAGGCACGAAAGCGUGGGGAUCAAACAGG